AAUUACGCUUUCAGGGAGGAAGUCGGGUGAAAAUCCCGCGCUGACCCGCAACUGUGAUGUCCGUCUAUACGGAAUAAGCCAGAUCUUCCCCGCGAUACUUAGACCUCGAGGUUGGGGGGUAUCGUAA
rnacentral:sRNA from 2 species